GGGACCAGUCAAGGUGUGUGAUAUAGCUGGAAUGUCCCUAGGAAGUAACACAUAAACUAUUUAGAGAGCAGUUAGAGUUCUGAAUGACAAAUAGUUUCACAGUAGCCAGUACUGUCUUCUGAGUAGCCGUUCACCAGGAAUCGCAGGUCCUUAGUUCUUUUUUACACUACCUUGUUUGGAGCCAGAACUUUGGAAUUUAAAGAAACCUGACCACCGUGGAAAUGUUAAGCACCUGGAACCUGGUCUUUCCACUUAGAUAGCAGCAACAAGCACCUACCACCUGUGCUACACUUCCAAGAAAGACAGUCUCAAAUUUGUGUCUUCGAAGACACUGUAACAGAUACCACAACCUCAGGCCUUAUUUCAAGUCACUAGUGUCCCUAAGUUAGCACAGUUAUUUUUAUCUUUAUUUUUGAGAAUGAAGUAUUGGUUGCAGGUUGAGCACAAAGAGUACAAUUUUCCUGGGCUGCUUCCUGAGUACCCACGGGACACCCCAGAGGCUGAGGAAGAUGGGACACCCACAGUUACACUGGAGAUCUCUUAGAAAAACUAAUCUCCAAAGAAUAUUCUGGAUGAACAGUUACCCAACAUCGCACUCCCUCUGAACAGCUGGAUCCAAUAAUCUGACUCCUUAAAUAAGAAUACAGUGAUCUUUUUCUGCUUAGGUUUUACUAACACUGGGAAUUUAGACCAAAAAAAUUUAUUAAAUGCUGUAUUUUCUUGGCUUCACAUGUAAGCAUUUGAUGACUUCCAAUAAACUACUGCAGAUAAAUCAAACAGGUCUUAAGGUUUACACCCAGGUCGAUGAAUAUUCAAAAUUACUUUUAUCUCCUGCAGUCUGUAUUAAAACAUUUAAUUUCUAUUGUACUUUUUGAAUUGCUAGCUUUCUGCUCACAUGGUUUUUAUUUUUAAAGCUAAUACAAAAUACCUUAGGUAUAGUUUCUAAUGAUUUACACAAAGCAUUUUCAUUUUUCUAGCAGUCUUCUGACGUCUAAGAUGUCCUAAAACCUUUCUGGAGCUAUGAUCACCACAGUGCUGCAUGGUAAUAAAAUGACAAGAAUGUACAUCAAAUUUCCCAGAAAAGUGAUCUUCAACUCAGAGCUUCUGGGUCGGUGAACACUCAGAGGUUUGGGGAGAGUGGCCUGCCUGGAGAGGGCAUGGCACCUCUGCACCCCUUUCCCAUGCCUUGCCCUGCGCAUCUUUCCCAUCUGGCUGUUCCCGAGUUAUCUCCUUUUAUCAUAAACUGGUGGUGUACUUUAUGCUGGCCACAGUGCUCAGGUCAUGUGUCAGUCCUGGAAGGAAUCUGACAUGACGAUGCCUCAAACCGCACAUAUGGUUAUUUGCUCGCACUAAAGAUGACAGUGAAAUACUUGGAAGGUCAUCAAACUGAAGUCAGAGAACCCCUUUCAAUUGCUAGCUCUGAAGACUUUGGGUUAAUUAAUAAAUGCCUUCAAUUCUUAGUAUCUUUGUAUGAGAAAAGCGCUGUGAAGUGGAAUAAGAUGAUGUCACAAAUAUAAACAAUCUGGAACAGGGGCACAAUAAAUGCUGAACUUGCACCUUAACAGCCUGGGGUAUUCAGCAACUCCAACGUAACAUUUAGGUUUUUGUUAUUUUAUUUCGACAAAAAGUCAACUGAAUGAUGUUUUAUUCCCGGCUCAGCAGUUAAGUUUUUAAGUGUGGUACAGAAGAAAUAGAAAACUGUGUUGGAAAAUUAUUUUAAACUAAAUUAUUAAUGUUCUAAGUCUUACUAGAAACAAGCAAAUGACUUAUUUUUUGGUAUAAAAAAUAUACAGAUACUCAUACUGAAUUUUUCAUUUCAGGUAAAAAUACACAUGGAUUUCUAUGUCCUAGUUUUCUUUCUUUCUUUUUUAAUCAUGUGAAUUUCCUUUGAGAGAACUGUUUUGUUCCCAGCAUCAAUAAACUUGAAAACGUCUACCUUUGUUUACCAUUUUGAAUAACUGUUUCUGAUCACAAUGUGAAACAGCUCAAAGAUGCCAUCCUUCCUAUUUAACUGCUAGACACAGUACACUACACAAAUUAAAUCUACAUAAGUAUCUGUUGAUCAAUGAUGUAUAUGUAUAUUAUAAAAAGUUUGGUAAUUUCAGAUUUUGAGCAUUAAAAGUAAUCUCUA